rnacentral:lncRNA from 1 species
AGGAAUUGAGUACUUGCCUUGCAGGUAAGUUUUGGAGGGUCUACAAAAUUUGCAGAUCUUAAAACAGCAGGAAAUUUUACAAAGCAUACUGUUCUAUCAAGUUUUUGUGAGGUUUUCAUUUUCCAAGCCAUUCCUGAAUACUAGAAGCCUAUAAUGAGUUGAAUCAGUUGAGUUAUGGUUUAUUUUGGUCCAGUUGGGGUAAGAUCUUUGAUAAUUGGUUUCUAUUGACAUUUCUUUGUUUCGAGUUUGGUUCAAUUGGAUUUCUUUUGGUCAUCUCUAGGCAAUUUUGCUGCUGAAACACUGUCCUUUUUACUGCUGUGCUGAAUUUGUUGUACCUCAUCUCCUCAUUAUUUUCUUCUUAUUCCCAUGUAUCCUUUUAAGCUCAUACUUGAAGACUACUCUCUGAUUUGAAAUUCAUGCUAAAUGAGGAAGAUAUUUGAAGUUGAAUUUAUUUUGAUUUUGUUUUGUUUUUUCCCCUAAGUUAGAACUAGAAUAAUACAUGUUGAUUGGGGCUUGUUCACUGAAUUUGAGGUGUAUAAAGGAGUUUACAGUUUUGAACUUGUACUUAAGAAAACAAUGGACUGUGAUUAGUACGCAAAUACUGCUGGAAAUAUUUAGCUUCCCUAUGCUUUCAUAGUCAUACAGGAAUACACUGUUGACUGGGUGAAUGGGUUUCUCAUGUUUAGUUUUCGUUCAGUCAUUCAUCAAUAUCGCCCAGGUCUGCACUUGCAUGAUUGAAAUAUGAUGCAAGGACCUUUUCAUAGUUAUCACGGGGAUUAUUACCUGUGUGUUUUUUGCUGCCU